rnacentral:rRNA from 1 species
ACUGCUCAGUAACACGUGGACAACCCGCCCAAGAGUCAGGGAUAACCCCGGGAAACUGGGGAUAAUACCUGAUAGGCCACGACAUCUGGAAUGAGUCGUGGUUUAAACGUAAGGCUCUUGGAUGGGUCUGCGGCGGAUUAGGUUGUUGCCGGUGUAACGUACCAGCAAGCCUGUAAUCCGUACGGGUUGUGGGAGCAAGAGCCCGGAGAUGGAUUCUGAGACACGAAUCCAGGCCCUACGGGGCGCAGCAGGCGCGAAAACUCUACAAUGCAGGCAACUGCGAUAGGGGAACAUCGAGUGGCACCCACCAUGGGUGUCUGUCCAGCCGUCUAAAAAACGGCUGUUAGCAAGGGCCGGGUAAGACCGGUGCCAGCCGCCGCGGUAAUACCGGCGGCUCGAGUGGUGGCCGAUAUUAUUGAGUCUAAAGGGUCCGUAGCCGGCUUUGCAAGUCCCCUGGGAAAUCCAGCGGCUUAACCGUUGGGCUUUCAUGGGAUACUACAUUGCUUGGGACUGGGAGAGGUAGGAGGUACUCAGGGGGUAGGGGUGAAAUCCUGUAAUCCUCUGGGGACCACCGGUGGCGAAGGCGUCCUACCAGAACAGGUCCGACGGUGAGGGACGAAAGCUAGGGGCACGAACCGGAUUAGAUACCCGGGUAGUCCUAGCCGUAAACGAUGCUCGCUAGGUGUCACGGCAGUCGUGAAUUGUCGUGGUGCCGUAGGGAAGCCGUGAAGCGAGCCACUUGGGAAGUACGACCGCAAGGUUGAAACUUAAAGGAAUUGGCGGGGGAGCACA